AGCGAACGCUGGCGGCAGGCUUAACACAUGCAAGUCGAGCGCACGUAGCAAUACGUGAGCGGCAGACGGGAGAGUAACACGUGGGAACGUACCUUUCGGUUCGGAAUAACUCAGGGAAACUUGAGCUAAUACCGGAUACGCCCGCAAGGGGAAAGAUUUAUCGCCGGAAGAUCGGCCCGCGUCCGAUUAGCUAGUUGGUGGGGUAAUGGCCCACCAAGGCGACGAUCGGUAGCUGGUCUGAGAGGAUGAUCAGCCUCACUGGGACUGAGACACGGCCCAGACUCCUACGGGAGGCAGCAGUGGGGAAUAUUGGACAAUGGGCGCAAGCCUGAUCCAGCCAUGCCGCGUGGGUGAUGAAGGCCUUAGGGUUGUAAAGCCCUUUCGGCGGGGAAGAUAAUGACGGUACCCGCAGAAGAAGCCCCGGCUAACUUCGUGCCAGCCGCCGCAGUAACAC
rnacentral:rRNA from 1 species